GUAUGGGUGGCAGAACUCGGAUAUGCAAAAGGUCUAAGCCCUUUAAAUAGAGGUUCAAAUCCCCUCCCCUACU
rnacentral:tRNA from 2 species